ensembl:lncRNA
ACCUCAUCACCCCCCUUGUCUGGCUUUUUUUUUUCCUUUGUCAAAAUAAUACUUAGACUUAAAGUAGUCUCAUUCUCAAUCACUACAUCCUUCCACUGGUCCCGCAAUCAAUGAGAUUGAUUAUAAUUUCCCUGUACUAGUGUUUUAAGGAAAUAGUUUGUAGUUAAUACACAAAAUGAAUGAGUACAAGUAUACACCUGUAGGUGUCUUUUCAUAUAUUAAACUCAGUGUACAUGCAGCACAAUGAACUGUAGGAUAUUUUCCUGUUAUCUUCUGAUGCAGGAAAUGUACUGAUAUAACUUAAUUACUACAAACAAUAGGAAUGUUCUUCAUUCAGAUGCUAUACGUCCCAAGUCAUCAGAAUCGAUCUCCCAAAUAUCUUGGUUGUGACCGUCAGACUUAAACUGCAAGGCAGAAAAUAUGCUGAAAUACCAUAUAAAAAGGGAACGAGGUGUGUGUGUGUGUGUGUGUGUUUGCCCUAAAAUUACAAUCAUCUGCAUAUGCUAUCAAUGAGCACAAAACAGAUACAGAAAAAAGAGAUGAAAGCAAGGGUUCAAGGCAGAUGUGCAUUUUGCAGGCAGGGUUUCUUAAGUUGAGAAAUGAGCUCUGUCUGGUCAACAGCCAGGUGGAGAUGGAGGAUGGGAGACUAGAGGUUCUGGAAACACUCCUGUCCUCUCUGUCCCUCUUUGUCGUCUUAAUCAGACUGGCCCUGAACCCCAAUCAUGGUGCUGCGUUAAACCUGUAUGGGAGCAGCACAGUUCAUCUUCCCUUUUUCAUUUGUUCCUCCACUAUUGGCCCUUAGAUAAACUAAAUCUUUGGCUGGAUUUUGUUUUACUCCAUUUCUGAAAAUCAUGACAUAGUUUUGUAAUAUCACAUAAACACCGCUGGGGCCAGACACCAAUAUGUCUCUUGUGACAGUGUACAUGUGUAGAUACUGAACCGCCAUUGUCCUUUUGGAACAGGAGGCAGAAGAAGAAGGGAAGCUUGGCUGGAGCUAGUGCUAGUGCUAGCUCUUCUCACAGCUAGCUAUACUGCCAAGCAUAUCUGCAAGGUUUCACAGAUCUUUGAGCAGCCAGUUCGUUAAUACUGCCCAUUGUUUUGAUCUUAAAUGUUUUUUUCUUUCUUUUCCUUUUUCCUUUUCUUACUUCUGCUACUUUUACCUGUACUGGAUUUUCGGUUAGAUUCCCAAAUGUUCAUUGUAUUUGAAAGCGUUGUGUGUGGCUGAUUGUCCUGCCUGUGGAUACCCAUUGAGUGUUUAGUCUGACUGACAAAAUCAGUCAGUCAGCCAGCCAGCCAGCCAUUUAAAGCACAGUCUGAUUGCUCAUUCAGUUAAAAAGCCAAGAUCACUUAAGAUUGUCAAUCAUUGAGCCCUUCAUUAGUGAAGGAGGACUACUUUAUGGAGAAAAGAUCAGUGUAGUGAUUUUUAAUUGACCAUUUGAUUGCUAGUUGAAGUCAGUGUGGGUGCUGCAGACUCUGGGACUCACCUAAGGAAUGGGUGUUUUGAGGAACACAGUGAGAAUAUGGAUAUAAAAGUGAUACAGCUACUCUUUGUAUUGGUUUAGUGCUGUAAAAUAACUUGUUAUUAGAGUUGUCGAUACCACCC